rnacentral:rRNA from 1 species
GGAAUCUUCCACAAUGGGCGCAAGUCUGAUGGAGCAACGCCGCGUGAGUGAAGAAGGUCUUCGGAUCGUAAAACUCUGUUGUUAGAGAAGAACAUGCAGGAGAGUAACUGUUCUUGUAUUGACGGUAUCUAACCAGCAAGUCACGGCUAACUACGUGCCAG